rnacentral:lncRNA from 1 species
GCGGAAAGCAGGACUGUGGCUGGCACCGCCCCCGAGGGCGCGGGGCUGGAGCGCGGACGAGCCCCUCCCCCGCCCUCUGCGCGGGAGCUCGGCUCCUCCCCACGGGCCCCUGCUGGGCGGGAGGCGGGAAACGGCCGCCUUCACCCUACCCGGCCCGGGAUCCCGCAGCCCCGCCGCGCCUGUCAGCUCCCCGCUCACCUGUCAAUCCUCUCCGGGGCUGGCGGCUCGGGGCGGCCCGGGCUCCUGGCUACGCGUCCCCGCCGGUCCCAGGAGCCCGCGCGUCUCAGGGAGACUCGCUCAGCCCCGCCGCGCAGAGGAUUGUGAACCUGCUUUGUACAAAUCGGCUGCUUAUUUGAGAAAUUGUGGCUUCUGAGUCAUUGGCAGUGGCUCUGCCCCUGCCCCUCCUGAAGUGGUUGCUGACAUUGACAUAAACGGGACUGUGGAACGGUAAGAAAACACAUGGACUGGACAAAGAAGCUUUCUAUGACAGCUGGGUAUAUAUCCUAACACCUGGAAGACAGAGUCAGGAAGAUGGACGAAAGUUCAAGGCCAGCCUGGUCUACAGUGCUACACAAUGAAAGUGACUCAUUAAAAUAAAAGGAAGAAAUAUAUGGAUAGAAAACAAAGCAAAAUCUAGUGAAAAUGUAGCCUAAAGUCUACAUUUAAGCUAAAAACAAAGAAUGGAUAAAACAUGAUGGGGUUAGCCUGUUCAAAAACCCAAUGGAGGAGGCCACAGUGGACCAUGGCUGAAUUCUUCACACAGCUGCAGAAUGGGGUUGGAUUCCAUAAGAAAGCAGGUGCAUGCCCAUACAGGGAGCGCCCUGUAGCCUUUCUUGGGGUCAGGUCACAUCCCAGCAUGAUGUUUGCUUGAGGAACUGGUAGCUAUAGCUUACACUGAAUACCAAGCUUUAUUUUACAAAGGAUUUUCAUGAUCAUUUUCUUGUUACAUCAUCCUAAUGAAAUGGUUGGUGUAUGGUCAAGAGCAAGUUGACUUGUCC